rnacentral:piRNA from 1 species
UCCAUCAGGAAAGCAACCACGACCACCCUC